rnacentral:rRNA from 1 species
CUGGCGGCGUGCUUAACACAUGCAAGUACGCGCGUGAAAGGGCUCGGCCCAAGUAAAGACGGCGCACGGGUGAGUAACGCGUGGAUGAUCUACCCAUGAGUUGGGAAUAACGGCUGGAAACGGUCGCUAAUACCGAAUACGCUCCGAUUUCAACUUCGGGGGAAAGGUGGCCUCUGCUUGCAAGCUACUGCUCAUGGAUGAGUCCGCGUCCCAUUAGCUAGUUGGUGGGGUAACGGCCCACCAAGGCGACGAUGGGUAGCCGGUCUGAGAGGAUGACCGGCCACACUGGGACUGGAACACGGCCCAGACUCCUACGGGAGGCAGCAGUGGGGAAUAUUGCGCAAUGGGCGAAAGCCUGACGCAGCGACGCCGCGUGAGGGGAAUGAAGGUCCUCGGAUCGUAAACCUCUGUCAGGAGGGAAGAACCGCCACGGUGCUAAUCAGCCGUGGUCUGACGGUACCUCCAAAGGAAGCACCGGCUAACUCCGUGCCAGCCGCCGC